rnacentral:tRNA from 1 species
GGUGUUGUGGCUCAGUGGUAGAGGGCUCACCUAGUGCGUGUGAGGCCCUGGGUUCCAUCCUCAGCACCACAU